rnacentral:snRNA from 1 species
UGUGUACNUGGCUGGGACAAGUGCCACCUCAUUGAUACCCAGGAUUGAUUCAGCUGGCUAGAUGGCCAUCAUCUUCAUCCCUCACCAGUCCACAUUUGGCCUCCCCAAGCUGUACACUCAAUUGAAGAGUAUGACCUUCCCCAGUAGAGUAGGACCAUUCUUCANUCAAGGGCAUAUUGUGACUAUCUGUCCUUCCCCUGAUAGAACCUCCAAACAAGCUCUCAAGGAAAAGCCAUCCCUCCCCAUACCCCUGUCUCCUCGUGAGGAGGCUGCUUGGGAACAAGGGUCCAGCCUGUCUCAGCCUCACACCUGUGAAUGUCUGUGAGC